rnacentral:misc_RNA from 1 species
GUAGGUGAACCUGCGGAAGGAUCAUUAACACGAAUUUUAAUAUUUUCCAAUAUUUAAAACCAAACCGCGAACCUUUCCCCUCCCUAUUUCGUAUCGGAGACGAUCCGAUUAGGCUACUAUUUUUUAUAUACAAACCCCUUUUUUAUUAAUCAACUUUACGUUAGAAAUAACGUGACUAAACUAAAAACUAUAUAUACAUUGUGCGUAUACAUAUUUUUUUUCUUUACGAAAUAAAUACUAUUCACAUACAGAACAACUCUUAGCAAUGGAUAUCUUGGUUCUC